UGUCCCCUAACCCUGAAGUAUUUUGCAGUAGAGUUAUUUAUUUAUAUACUUAAUACUGAUGUGUUGGUUAAUUAUUUAGCUGACUAGCUAAGUGAGUGAUUCCAGCAGAGGAGGAGAAAGAGUUUGUGUGGGUUCCACCUGGAGAUUUCUGCAAGAGGAGGGAAGAUAUUGUUGCAGUGCUGCUGGCUCAACUGUAGAAAGCUGAUGAACAAAGACUCUAACUGAGACUCAGUAUUUUCUCUGGAGACUGCGGAUCUACAUCACAUAAAUAGAAAAGAAAAACAAACCAACCAAACAGAAUUCUGAAGGAAUGCAAAUAUGAAAUUGAAGAAACACUAAUUGUGCUCUAGUUCUCCAGUCAACCCAAAAUGAAGCCAAAAGCACCAGAAAUCUUAUGAGAUAGUCUAAUCCGCAGAUCCAAGAAGGUUGGAUAGCAGCUUUAGACCUCUUCUCCUCUGAUCAAAAGGUUUAACAAAAGAACACUUGGAACACAACAGAACAUGGAAGUACCGAGAUGAGUGAUACACUUCAUCAGGAAACUCGGUGUCUCGUCUCUUUCAGAGUGAAGAAUAAAGUACGGAAAUAUUUAGUUGAUGGAGCCAGUACGGUAACCCACUUGCCAG